AGGCAAUCCAAGCAAUUCCUCUAGAAAUACAUUUGGAAAUUCACAGACUAUCGGUACUGAUUCAAGCUUCAAUUCAGACAGCUCAGUAUUUAUUACAUAGGCCGGAUAAGCUUCACACCCUUUCCUCAUGUAUUUCUGUGCAGACAUGUGCGAAAUCACCAUAGGCAAUUUAUUUGAUUCAUCUGUUUCAACCUCCAGAAUUUCACCAUUUUCACAUUUCAACUCUAGUGUUUUCUG
rnacentral:lncRNA from 1 species